rnacentral:rRNA from 1 species
AUUGAACGCUGGCGGCAUGCCUUACACAUGCAAGUCGAACGGCAGCACGGGAGCAAUCCUGGUGGCGAGUGGCGAACGGGUGAGUAAUAUAUCGGAACGUGCCCAGUAGUGGGGGAUAACUGCUCGAAAGAGCAGCUAAUACCGCAUACGACCUGAGGGUGAAAGGGGGGGAUCGCAAGACCUCUCGCUAUUGGAGCGGCCGAUAUCAGAUUAGCUAGUUGGUGGGGUAAAGGCCUACCAAGGCAACGAUCUGUAGUUGGUCUGAGAGGACGACCAGCCACACUGGGACUGAGACACGGCCCAGACUCCUACGGGAGGCAGCAGUGGGGAAUUUUGGACAAUGGGCGCAAGCCUGAUCCAGCAAUGCCGCGUGCAGGAAGAAGGCCUUCGGGUUGUAAACUGCUUUUGUCAGGGAAGAAAUCCUCUAGGUUGAUACCCUUGGGGGGAUGACGGUACCUGAAGAAUAAGCACCAGCUAACUACGUGCCAGCCGCCGCGGUAA